rnacentral:rRNA from 1 species
AUUGAACGCUGGCGGCAUGCCUUACACAUGCAAGUCGAACGGUAACAGGUCUUCGGAUGCUGACGAGUGGCGAACGGGUGAGUAAUACAUCGGAACGUGCCUAGUAGUGGGGGAUAACUACUCGAAAGAGUGGCUAAUACCGCAUGCGAUCUACGGAUGAAUGCAGGGGAUCGCAAGACCUUGUGCUACUAGAGCGGCCGAUGGCAGAUUAGGUAGUUGGUGGGAUAAAAGCUUACCAAGCCGACGAUCUGUAGCUGGUCUGAGAGGACGAACAGCCACACUGGGACUGAGACACGGCCCAGACUCCUACGGGAGGCAGCAGUGGGGAAUUUUGGACAAUGGGCGAAAGCCUGAUCCAGCAAUGCCGCGUGCAGGAUGAAGGCCUUCGGGUUGUAAACUGCUUUUGUACGGAACGAAAAGCCCCGGGUUAAUACCCUGGGGUCAUGACGGUACCGUAAGAAUAAGCACCGGCUAACUACGUGCCAGCCGCCGCCGUAA